rnacentral:tRNA from 1 species
GUCCCUGUGGCGGAACGGUAGACGCGCCGGCUUCCCAAGCCGGUACCCUAGCAGGUGUGCGAGUUCAACUCUCGUCAGGGACA